AUUGAACGCUGGCGGCAUGCCUUACACAUGCAAGUCGAACGGCAGCGGGGACUUCGGUCCGCCGGCGAGUGGCGAACGGGUGAGUAAUGUAUCGGAACGUACCAUUCAGUGGGGGAUAACUAUCCGAAAGGAUGGCUAAUACCGCAUAUUCUGUGAGCAGGAAAGCAGGGGAUCGCAAGACCUUGCGCUGAUUGAGCGGCCGAUAUCAGAUUAGCUAGUUGGUGAGGUAACGGCUCACCAAGGCUACGAUCUGUAGCGGGUCUGAGAGGAUGAUCCGCCGCACUGGGACUGAGACACGGCCCAGACUCCUACGGGAGGCAGCAGUGGGGAAUUUUGGACAAUGGGCGCAAGCCUGGUCCAGCCAUGCCGCGUGAGUGAAGAAGGCCUUCGGGUUGUAAAGCUCUUUCGGCCGGGAAGAAAUCGCAUCAGCUAAUACCUGGUGUGGAUGACGGUACCGGAAUAAGAAGCACCGGCUAACUACGUGCCAGCAGCCGCGGUAAAAC
rnacentral:rRNA from 1 species